GACGGAGGAUGCAAGUGUUAUCCGGAAUCACUGGGCGUAAAGCGUCUGUAGGUGGUCAAAUAAGUCAACUGUUAAAUCUUGAGGCUCAACCUCAAAAUCGCAGUCGAAACUAUUAGACUAGAGUAUAGUAGGGGUAAAGGGAAUUUCCAGUGGAGCGGUGAAAUGCGUAGAGAUUGGAAAGAACACCGAUGGCGAAGGCACUUUACUGGGCUAUUACUAACACUCAGAGACGAAAGCUAGGGUAGCAAAUGG
rnacentral:rRNA from 1 species